AGAGUUUGAUUCUGGCUCAGGACGAACGCUGGCGGCGUGCUUCACACAUGCAAGUCGAACGGGAUCACUUGUGGUCUAGUGGCGAACGGGUGAGUAUCACGUGAGUAACCUGUCCCGGAGUUUGGGAUAACAGUGGGAAACUGCUGCUAAUACCGGAUGUUCCUGCUGUCUCGCAUGGGGUGGUGGGGAAAUGCUUUUGUGCUUCGGGAGGGGCUCGCGGCCUAUCAGCUUGUUGGUGGGGUGAUGGCCUACCAAGGCUUCGACGGGUAGCUGGUCUGAGAGGACGAUCAGCCACACUGGGACUGAGACACGGCCCAGACUCCUACGGGAGGCAGCAGUGGGGAAUCUUGCGCAAUGGGCGGAAGCCUGACGCAGCAACGCCGCGUGAGGGAUGACGGCUUUCGGGUUGUAAACCUCUUUCGUGCGGGGACGAUUGUGACGGUACCUGUAGAAGAAGCUCCGGCCAACUACGUGCCAGCAGCCGCGGUAAUACGUAGGGAGCGAGCGUUGUCCGGAUUUAUUGGGCGUAAAGAGCUCGUAGGCGGCUUGGUAAGUCGGAUGUGAAACCUUCAUGCUUAACGUGGAGACGCCAUCCGAUACUGCUAUGGCUUGAGUCCGGUAGGGGCCCACGGAAUUCCUGGUGUAGCGGUGAAAUGCGCAGAUAUCAGGAGGAACACCGGUGGCGAAGGCGGUGGGCUGGGCCGGUACUGACGCUGAGGAGCGAAAGCGUGGGGAGCGAACAGGAUUAGAUACCCUGGUAGUCCACGCUGUAAACGUUGGGCACUAGGUGUGGGGUCUUUCAACGGGUUCCGUGCCGUAGCUAACGCAUUAAGUGCCCCGCCUGGGGAGUACGGCCGCAAGGCUAAAACUCAARGGAAUUGACGGGGGCCCGCACAAGCGGCGGAGCAUGUGGCUUAWUUCGAUGCAACGCGAAGAACCUUACCUGGGUUGAACUACGCGGGUUUAGCUGCAGAGAUGUGGUGUCCUUCGGGGCCUGCGAUAGGUGGUGCAUGGCUGUCGUCAGCUCGUGUCGUGAGAUGUUGGGUUAAGUCCCGCAACGAGCGCAACCCUUGUCCUAUGUUGCCAGCGGGUUAUGCCGGGGACUCGUAGGAGACUGCCGGGGUCAACUCGGAGGAAGGUGGGGAUGACGUCAAGUCAUCAUGCCCCUUAUGUCCAGGGCUGCACACAUGCUACAAUGGCCGGUACAGAGGGCUGCUAUCUCGUGAGGGUGAGCGAAUCCCUAAAAGCCGGUCUCAGUUCGGAUCGCAGUCUGCAACUCGACUGCGUGAAGUCGGAGUCGCUAGUAAUCCCGGAUCAGCAAUGCCGGGGUGAAUACGUUCCCGGGCCUUGUACACACCGCCCGU
rnacentral:rRNA from 1 species